rnacentral:sRNA from 1 species
AUAUCUCUCCGUACGGGAAGGAUGAGAAGCUUCGACUAAGGUUCGAUUCGGGCGCAGCGAGAAAGCGUUGCCGCAGGCAACGACCCGAAGGGCGAAGCGCGCAGCGCUGAGUCAUCCUUCCCCCACCACCA